AAAAGAACCAGUGAAUUUUGACUUCAGGCUGAAGUGGUUCGUAUAUUGUCUUACUUCACACUAUACUUUUUUAUAUUCAACACAUUGUAUUUUGGGUGCUCAAUUGCCCAAUUUUCAGGCUAGUGGUUCUUAACCUACUGGUUCUUUUAUGCGAGGGCAAGGCUUUACUGUAAUGUAAUGUAUAUCUGAAGAUGUCUUAUAUCUGAAGAUGUCUUGUAUGUAAUGUAUAUCUGAAGAUGUCUUGUAAUGUCUGUAUAUCUGAAGAUGUCUUAGGUUAAAGACGAAACGUUAGCUUUCAAAUAAAUAUUUUAAAUUAUAUUUUUGUUAUGGCUCUUUUAUGUGUUUUAUGCUGGACAUUAAUAUUUAUCCUAAAAUCAAUGGACCUUAUGCAUAAUGAUGUCUUAAGGCUUGAUGGCCAGAAAAAUUUCGAUAGUGGCCAUUUUGGAUUGUUUAAUUUUCCUGGGCGAUUACUACUAAAGUCCUGGGCAAACUAGGAAACGUUGUUGCGGACGAACAGGCGUGGACCAACAUGGUGGGCAAACAGGGAAACGUCUGAGGAAACAUCGAGAAUCACAAAUGUUUCUGCAACGUUUCCUAGUUUGCCCAUAGCUUAAGACCAGCAUUCCUCGCAGGCAUCAAGCCUUGUGACAUCAUUAUGCAUAAGGUUAAAUGAGCAGUAUGAUGUCCAAAUUGUAAAACACAAUUGUAC
rnacentral:lncRNA from 1 species